CUUGAUAAGCAGCAGGGGGUGCAGGGUGCUGUUGUUACUGUCGCCCCCAGAGAGGUGCAGGGUGCUGUUGUUACUGUCGCCCCCAGAGAGGUGCAGGGUGCUGUUGUUACUGUCGCCCCCAGAGAGGUGCAGGGUGCUGUUGUUACUGUCGCCCCCAGAGAGGUGCAGGGUGCUGUUGUUACUGUCGCCCCCAGAGAGGUGCAGGGUGCUGUUGUUACUGUCGCCCCCAGAGAGGUGCAGGGUGCUGUUGUUACUGUCGCCCCCAGAAAGGUGCAGGGUGCUGCUGUUACUGUCGGCCCCAGAGAGGUGCAGGGUGCUGUUGUUACUGUCGGCCCCAGAGAGGUGAAUGGCACUGUGCGAUAGCUGGUCACUGAAGAACACCAGUACGUCCCUGGGUACGAGAGGAACCUCCGCAAUAUAGUCC
rnacentral:lncRNA from 1 species